GACGAACGCUGGCGGCGUGCUUAACACAUGCAAUUCGAACGGAAAGGCCCUGCUUUUGUGGGGUGCUCGAGUGGCGAACGGGUUAGUAACACGUUAGUAACCUUCCCUUUACUUUUGGAUAACUUCAGGAAACUGGGGCUUAUACCGGAUAGGUGCUCCUGCUGCAUGGUGUGGGUUGUAAAGUUUCGGCGGUUGGGGAUGGACUCGAGGCUUAUCAGCUUGUUGGUGGGUUAGUGGCUUACCAAGGCUUUGACGGGUAGCCGGCCUGAGAGGGUGACCGGCCACAUUGGGACUGAGAUACGGCCCAGACUCCUACGGGAGGCAGCAGUGGGGAAUAUUGCACAAUGGGCGGAAGCCUGAUGCAGCAACGCCGCGUGCGGGAUGACGGCCUUCGGGUUGUAAACCGCUUUCGCCUGUGACGAAGCGUGAGUGACGGUAAUGGGUAAAGAAGCACCGGCUAACUACGUG
rnacentral:rRNA from 1 species